UUGAGUUUGAUCAUGGCUCAGAUUGAACGCUGGCGGCAGGCUUAACACAUGCAAGUCGAGCGGAGAGAGGUAGCUUGCUACUGAUCUUAGCGGCGGACGGGUGAGUAAUACUUAGGAAUCUGGCUAUUAGUGGGGGACAACAUUUCGAAAGGGAUGCUAAUACCGCAUACGUCCUACGGGAGAAAGCAGGGGAUCUUCGGACCUUGCGCUAAUAGAUGAGCCUAAGUCGGAUUAGCUAGUUGGUGGGGUAAAGGCCUACCAAGGCGACGAUCUGUAGCGGGUCUGAGAGGAUGAUCCGCCACACUGGGACUGAGACACGGCCCAGACUCCUACGGGAGGCAGCAGUGGGGAAUAUUGGACAAUGGGGGGAACCCUGAUCCAGCCAUGCCGCGUGUGUGAAGAAGGCCUUAUGGUUGUAAAGCACUUUAAGCGAGGAGGAGGGUACUGGUAUUAAUACUACCAGGUACUGGACGUUACUCGCAGAAUAAGCACCGGCUAACUCUGUGCCAGCAGCCGCGGUAAUACAGAGGGUGCGAGCGUUAAUCGGAUUUACUGGGCGUAAAGCGUGCGUAGGCGGCUAAUUGAGUCGGAUGUGAAAUCC
rnacentral:rRNA from 1 species